GCUGGGGGUGAAAGGCCAAUCAAACCGGGAGAUAGCUGGUUCUCCCCGAAAGCUAUUUAGGUAGCGCCUCGUGAAUUCAUCUCCGGGGGUAGAGCACUGUUUCGGCAAGGGGGUCAUCCCGACUUACCAACCCGAUGCAAACUGCGAAUACCGGAGAAUGUUAUCACGGGAGACACACGGCGGGUGCUAACGUCCGUCGUGAAGAGGGAAACAACCCAGACCGCCAGCUAAGGUCCCAAAGUCAUGGUUAAGUGGGAAACGAUGUGGGAAGGCCCAGACAGCCAGGAUGUUGGCUUAGAAGCAGCCAUCAUUUAAAGAAAGCGUAAUAGCUCACUGGUCGAGUCGGCCUGCGCGGAAGAUGUAACGGGGCUAAACCAUGCACCGAAGCUGCGGCAGCGACGCUGAUGCGUUGUUGGGUAGGGGAGCGUUCUGUAAGCCUGUGAAGGUGUACUGUGAGGUAUGCUGGAGGUAUCAGAAGUGCGAAUGCUGACAUAAGUAACGAUAAAGCGGGUGAAAAGCCCGCUCGCCGGAAGACCAAGGGUUCCUGUCCAACGUUAAUCGGGGCAGGGUGAGUCGACCCCUAAGGCGAGGCCGAAAGGCGUAGUCGAUGGGAAACAGGUUAAUAUUCCUGUACUUGGUGUUACUGCGAAGGGGGGACGGAGAAGGCUAUGUUGGCCGGGCGACGGUUGUCCCGGUUUAAGCGUGUAGGCUGGUUUUCCAGGCAAAUCCGGAAAAUCAAGGCUGAGGCGUGAUGACGAGGCACUACGGUGCUGAAGCAACAAAUGCCCUGCUUCCAGGAAAAGCCUCUAAGCAUCAGGUAACAUCAAAUCGUACCCCAAACCGACACAGGUGGUCAGGUAGAGAAUACCAAGGCGCUUGAGAGAACUCGGGUGAAGGAACUAGGCAAAAUGGUGCCGUAACUUCGGGAGAAGG
rnacentral:rRNA from 1 species